rnacentral:rRNA from 1 species
AGAGUUGAUCAUGGCUCAGGACGAACGCUGGCGGCGUGCUUAACACAUGCAAGUCGAACGGUAAGGCCCUUCGGGGUACACGAGUGGCGAACGGGUGAGUAACACGUGGGUGAUCUGCCCUGCACUUUGGGAUAAGCCUGGGAAACUGGGUCUAAUACCGAAUACACCUUGCUGGCUGCAUGGCCUGGUGGGGGAAAGCUUUUGCGGUGUGGGAUGGGCCCGCGGCCUAUCAGCUUGUUGGUGGGGUGAUGGCCUACCAAGGCGACGACGGGUAGCCGGCCUGAGAGGGUGUCCGGCCACACUGGGACUGAGAUACGGCCCAGACUCCUACGGGAGGCAGCAGUGGGGAAUAUUGCACAAUGGGCGCAAGCCUGAUGCAGCGACGCCGCGUGGGGGAUGACGGCCUUCGGGUUGUAAACCUCUUUCAGUACAGACGAAGCGUAAGUGACGGUAUGUACAGAAGAAGCACCGGCCAACUACGUGCCAGCAGCCGCGGUA